rnacentral:lncRNA from 12 species
UUUGUAUGGCUCAGCCUGGUAGGUCAUAGAAAAAUAGGCCUGGAGGUAUGAGGCCUCUGAGCUCAGGCUCAGCCUAUAUCUCCUUGGUGGGCUGUAUCCUCCUGUACCCUCACCUCAGCAAGCAGAAGAGUUACAUAUGAAAAUGUUGGAUUGCCUUCUUGGUGGGGAGGAGGGAGUCAUCAUUCAACUCAUGUCAUGCAGUUUUCAGUUUCGGUCAAUUUCCUAAUG